CUUUUUUUUUCUCUCUCUCUCACUUUUUAAAUUUUUUUUAUUUUUUUGAGUCUCAAUCGUGUGGACAUCACUGGGAAUGAAGGGAAAUAACUGACUGAAUGGUCGUUGCCUUUUAAGUUUCAAACCGACAUUCCAGGCGGGUUGUGCCUGAGCCAGCCUCGGGCUUUCAGACCUUCAUAGCCUGGUCCUGAGAAGGUAGAGCUCUCAGCUUCUCCCUGGACUCCCGUGGACCGGAAACAAAGCAGAAACGCGAAUCCCCGGCUCAGGCGUUUACUCGGAGAUGGGCAAAGUGAGGCGAAGCAGGAGGGGAUAGGAUGUGACUGAGCCGUACAGCCUCCAGCAUCUUGCUCCUGGACGGGCUGGAUCCUACAGGGAGACUCUGGAGCUGGCACCGUGAUUUCCCACAUAUGAAGAUAAGCUGUCCUCCUGUCAUUGGCUGCAUUGGCCGGGAAAGUGUUCCCUCUUGUUCAGCAGACUGGCAUAGGGCCUGAGAGCACAGCUUGGGCGCGGCAGACCAGGAGGACCCCAGCACCCCCAUUCCCAGCUGCACACCCCGGGCGCUUCCCUUGACCUCCCUGGACUUUGGUCCCCUCAUCUGAAGUGGAGGUCAUGAUAGACGCAGGGGCCUGUCAUUGUGAGUACUGAGUGAGAGCAGAGCACACGAGACGGUGGGGUACGUUCUGCCGCUGCUGCCGCUGUUGCGUGUGAUCCUGUAUCAUCUGCUGUGCUGCCCCUAGGACUGCCACUGGAGCAAGAAGCCUCAUUCUCUUGCUCAGUGGUCCUGUGACUUCUCAGUUCACUCAACCAUUCUGAGCCUCAGUGCUUUUAUUUAUAACAUGGGGAGGAUAACCCCUUUCUCAUAAGAUUCUUGUUAAAACCAGAUGAAACAACACAUUUUUAAAGUUCUCUGAGCACUUUAUAAUAAUAUUACAAUAAUAUAUAAUAAUGUUUGUAAUAAUAAUAUAAUAAUGCAGAUAGAAUUUAUUGAAUACUUCCUAGCACCAGUGCCGUGGUUUGCUUUUCACUUACAAUUUUUCACUUAAUCCUUAUAACCGUGAGUCAUUAGUCUCAUUUAUGUAGAUUGGGAAACUAAGGUCCCCGAGAAGCAAUCUGCUCAAAGACACAGCCUGUAAGCAACAGAAUCCAGACUUGGACCCCUCACCCCAGAUCUGGGCUUCCCAGGUGCCUCAGCAGUAAAGAAUCUGCCAGCCAACACGGAAGACACAGGUUCAGUCCCUGGGUUGGGAAGAUCCCCUGGAGAAGGAAAUGGAAACCUACUCCAGUAUUCCUACCUAGGAAAUCCAACGGGCAGAGCAGAGGAGCCUUGUGGGCUACACUCCACAGGGUCACACAGAGUCAGACACAGCUUACGGACCAAACGCAACAGCAGCAACCACCUAGGGUCUGGCUGUGUUCGUGCUUCAGAGAGGAAGUAAGCCGGGGAGGGAGAGAGCAGCGUGGCAUGCGGGCUCACUCCCACUAGCAAGUCUGGCUAUAUUUAGGUCAAUGAAUUGUAUUGAAGAUGGACUCAUCAGUGAUUUCUUUCAUUCAUGAAAUGAAUUCUUUCAUUCAGAAGUUAUUGAAAGGACUUCUGCUCCAGAUAGAAUAGCAUAAAAUGGUUCUUCUCUUGUCCUCUCCCACCUUGGGAUAAUGAUAAACUCUGGAAAAAAUUCAAGCCACCAUUAAGAAUGAAAAGGCAAGCCGCAGUGGGAGAAGAUAUUUGCAAAUCCGAAAACUGAGAAGAGGCUUGUAUCCAGAAUAAUUAAAAAUUUCCAUACAUCCAAAUGAGUCAAAGAUUUGGACAGGCAUGUCACCAAAGAAGUUACACAGUUUGCCAAGAAAUAUGAGCAGCAGAGUGCAACGUGAAAUCCCAAGGAUACACGUCUAUAUAUCCACCAAAGUGGCUGAGAAUAAACAAACUAAAUAAUACAAAGUGCUGCAGAGGAUGUAAGGCAAAUACACCUGCCAUCCACUGGCUAGCAGGGGUGUAAACUGGCGCUUACCAUCACUUUGGAAAAUUGUUUGACAGCCCUGAGUGCUAAGCAUUGUAUAUCCCAUGGCUCAGCAAUUCUACCCCUCUUAAUACACCCAACUGAAGUACAUACUCCUGUGCACUCAAGACAUAUACAAAACUGCUCAUAACCAUCCAGUUACAAUAACAGAAGACUGAAAACACCCCAAACAUCCACCAGCAGUGGAAUGGAUAAUUCUAUUGUGGUGUCCUUCACAAUGAAAUUGAACAAUUGGAUGCAACACACAAUAACACAGAACUGAAAUCAUGCUCGAUGAAAGAAGACAAAGAAGAGGGUACCGUGCGGGAUUCUACGUACUCCAGGUUCAAGAAAGACAGAGUCAGUCAAUGAGGGCUGGCACCUAGAUGGUAGUUAUUUGGAGGGUGUGACGGGACGGAGGCAAAAGGUGGGGUACUUUGGAGGUGCAGCAAAUGUCUUGUUUCUAGAUCUGGGCAGUGACUCCAUAGGUCUGGGCCCUGAGUAUUUGUCAAAUUCUUAUGCUUAUCACUCAUCUGUUUUUCUCUAUGUAGGUUUCACUUCAA